GACGUAGGGCGCGAGCGUUGUCCGGAUUUAUUGGGCGUAAAGAGCUCGUAGGCGGCUUGUCGCGUCGACUGUGAAAACCCGCGGCUCAACCGCGGGUCCGCAGUCGAUACGGGCAGGCUAGAGUUCGGUAGGGGAGACUGGAAUUCCUGGUGUAGCGGUGAAAUGCGCAGAUAUCAGGAGGAACACCGAUGGCGAAGGCAGGUCUCUGGGCCGAUACUGACGCUGAGGAGCGAAAGCGUGGGGAGCGAACAGG
rnacentral:misc_RNA from 1 species